rnacentral:rRNA from 1 species
CCUACGGGGGGCAGCAGUGGGGAAUAUUGGACAAUGGGGGCAACCCUGAUCCAGCCAUGCCGCGUGUGUGAAGAAGGCCCUCGGGUUGUAAAGCACUUUCAGUGAGGAAGAACGCCUGGUGGUUAAUACCCAUCAGGAAAGACAUCACUCACAGAAGAAGCACCGGCUAACUCCGUGCCAGCAGCCGCGGUAAUACGGAGGGUGCGAGCGUUAAUCGGAAUUACUGGGCGUAAAGCGCGCGUAGGUGGCUUGAUAAGCCGGUUGUGAAAGCCCCGGGCUCAACCUGGGAACGGCAUCCGGAACUGUCAAGCUAGAGUGCAGGAGAGGAAGGUAGAAUUCCAGGUGUAGCGGUGAAAUGCGUAGAGAUAGGGAGGAAUACCAGUGGCGAAGGCGGCCUUCUGGACUGAAACUGACACUGAGGUGCGAAAGCGUGGGUAGCAAACAGGAUUAGAUACCCCUGUAGUC